ACGGCUCAGUAACACGUAGCUAACCUGCCCUCAAGCCCGUGAUAACGUCGGGAAACUGACGAUAAUAACGGAUAAAUGAUUUUUUCUGGAAUGAUUAAUCGUUGAAAAUUUGCGUGAGGACGGGGCUGCGGCGGAUUAGGUAGUUGGCGGGGUAAUUGCCCACCAAGCCAAUGAUCCGUAAGGGCCUUUAGCGAGGAAGCCCUGAGAGGGAGUCUGAGACACUACUCCCAGCCCUACGGGGUGCAGCAGUCGGGAAAAUUUUGCAAUGCGCGAAAGCGUGACAGAGCAAGCCAGAGUGCAUUUCAUUUUUUGAAAUGCUUUUGUGAGAUGUAGAAAGUCUUACGAAUAAGGACUGGGAGAGACUGGUGCCAGCCGCCGCGGUAAUCCCAGCAGUCCAAGUCGCAGCCACAUUUGUUGGGUCUAAAACAUCCGUAGCUUGCCUUGCAAGUCUU
rnacentral:rRNA from 1 species